AUACGGAGGGUGCAAGCGUUGUUCGGAAUUAUUGGGCGUAAAGAGCAUGUAGGCGGACUGUUAAGUCUGGUGUGAAAGCCCGGGGCUCAACCCCGGAAGUGCAUUGGAUACUGGCAGUCUUGAGUAUGGGAGAGGAAAGUGGAAUUCCGAGUGUAGGAGUUAAGUCCGUAGAUAUUCGGAGGAACACCAGUGGCGAAGGCGGCUUUCUGGACCAAUACUGACGCUGAGAUGCGAAAGCGUGGGGAGCGAACAGGAUUAGAAACCCCAGUAGUCC
rnacentral:rRNA from 1 species